CCUACGGGAGGCAGCAGUGAGGAAUAUUGGUCAAUGGGCGGAAGCCUGAACCAGCCAUGCCGCGUGCAGGAAUAAGGCCCUAUGGGUCGUAAACUGCUUUUCCUUGAGGGCAAUAAGGGUCACGUGUGGCCCGAUGAGAGUAUCAGGGGAAUAAGCAUCGGCUAACUCCGUGCCAGCAGCCGCGGUAAU
rnacentral:rRNA from 1 species